rnacentral:tRNA from 1 species
GGAAAAUCGGUCGACUUUAAAAUAGUGAGGGUUCAAGUCCCUCUAUCCC